GGGGAAUAUUGGGCAAUGGGGGAAACCCUGACCCAGCAACGCCGCGUGAAGGAAGAAGGCCUUCGGGUUGUAAACUUCUUUUACCAGGGACGAAGGACGUGACGGUACCUGGAGAAAAAGCAACGGCUAACUACGUGCCAGCAGCCGCGGUAAUACGUAGGUUGCAAGCGUUGUCCGGAUUUACUGGGUGUAAAGGGCGUGUAGGCGGAGAUGCAAGUUGGGAGUGAAAUCCAUGGGCUCAACCCAUGAACUGCUCUCAAAACUGUAUCCCUUGAGUAUCGGAGAGGCAAGCGGAAUUCCUAGUGUAGCGGUGAAAUGCGUAGAUAUUAGGAGGAACACCAGUGGCGAAGGCGGCUUGCUGGACGACAACUGACGCUGAGGCGCGAAAGCGUGGGGAGCAAACAGGAUUAGAUACCCUGGUAGUCCACGCUGUAAACGAUGAAUACUAGGUGUGGGAGGACUGACCCCUUCCGUGCCGCAGUUAACACAAUAAGUAUUCCACCUGGGGAGUACGACCGCAAGGUUGAAACUCAAAGGAAUUGACGGGGGCCCGCACAAGCAGUGGAUUAUGUGGUUUAAUUCGACGCAACGCGAAGAACCUUACCAGGAUUUGACAUCCAACUAACGAAGUAGAGAUACAUCAGGUACCCUUCGGGGGAAGUUGAGACAGGUGGCGCAUGGUUGUCGUCAGCUCGUGUCGUGAGAUGUUGGGUUAAGUCCCGCAACGAGCGCAACCCCUAUUGUUAGUUGCUACGAAAGAGCACUCUAGCGAGACUGCCGUUGACAAAACGGAGGAAGGCGGGGACGACGUCAAAUCAUCAUGCCCCUUAUGUCCUGGGCUACACACGUAAUACAAUGGCGGUCAACAGAGGGAAGCAAAGCCGCGAGGUGGAGCAAAUCCCUAAAAGCCGUCUCAGUUCGGAUUGCAGGCUGCAACUCGCCUGCAUGAAGCUGGAAUUGCUAGUAAUCGCGGAUCAGCAUGCCGCGGUGAAUACGUUCCCG
rnacentral:rRNA from 1 species